rnacentral:rRNA from 1 species
UGGGUAACCUGCCCUCAGCUCUGGGAUAACUCCAAGAAAUUGGGGCUAAUACCGGAUAUGACCGCUGACCGCAUGGUCUGGUGGUGGAAAGAUUUUAUCGGCUGGGGACGGCCCGCGGCCUAUCAGCUUGUUGGUGGGUAGUGGCCUACCAAGGCGACGACGGGUANCUGGUCUGAGAGGAUGGCCAGCCANAGUUGGGACUGGAGACACGGCCCAGACUCCG